UGAGGAAUAUUGGUCAAUGGACGGAAGUCUGAACCAGCCAAGUAGCGUGCAGGAUGACGGCCCUAUGGGUUGUAAACUGCUUUUAUGUGGGAAUAAAGUGAGGGACGUGUCCCUUUUUGUAGGUACCACAUGAAUAAGGACCGGCUAAUUCCGUGCCAGCAGCCGCGGUAAUACGGAAGGUCCGGGCGUUAUCCGGAUUUAUUGGGUUUAAAGGGAGCGUAGGCCGUCUUAUAAGCGUGUUGUGAAAUGUCGGGGCUCAACCUGGGCAUUGCAGCGCGAACUGUGAGACUUGAGUGCGCAGGAAGUAGGCGGAAUUCGUCGUGUAGCGGUGAAAUGCUUAGAUAUGACGAAGAACUCCGAUUGCGAAGGCAGCCUGCUGUAGCGCAACUGACGCUGAAGCUCGAA
rnacentral:rRNA from 1 species